AGUGAGAGACAGGUGACACACACAGGUACCCGUCCUGGAUCCCAAUGAGCUGCACAGGUGAGGCAGGUGAGAGACAGGUAACACACACAUGUGAGGUGAGACAGGUAACACACAGGUACUCAUCCUGGAUCCCAAUGAGCUGCACAAGUGAGACAGGUGAGAUGGACAGGUAACACACACGUGAGACAGGUGAGACAGGUAACACACAGGUACUCAUCCUGGAUCCCAAUGAGCUGCACAAGUGAGACAGGUGAGAUGGACAGGUAACACACACAGGUGAGAUCAGUGAGAGACAGGUGACACACACAGGUACCCGUCCUGGAUCCCAAUGAGCUGCACAGGUGAGACGGACAAGUGAGACAGGUGUGAGACAGGUGAGACCCUGACAGGUGACACGAACAGGUACCCGUCCCGGAUCCCAAUGAGCUGUACAGGUGCGAGACAGGUGAGACAGGUAACACACACAGGUACCCAUCCUGGAUCCCAAUGAGCUACAGGUAUGGACAGGUGAGAUGAGACAGGUACAGACAAAUACAGACACGUAACACGCACAGGUAUCCGUCCUGGAUCUGAAUCAGCUGCACAGGUGAGAGACAGGUGAGACACACAGGUACAGACAGGUAACACACACAGGUACAGACAGGUAACACACAGGUACCCAUCCUGGAUCCCAAUCGGUUGUGGGACAGGUGAAACAGGUGAACUGGACAGGUAAGACGUGAGACACACAGGUAUGGACAACUACAGACAGGUGAGACACGUAUGGACAAAUAAAACCAGGUGCAGCUGUGUACAGGUGUAUCCCAGCUGUGCCCAGGUGUGU